rnacentral:rRNA from 1 species
UGUUGCCUACGGGACGCAGCAGUGGGGAAUAUUGCACAAUGGGGGGAACCCUGAUGCAGCAACGCCGCGUGAGUGAAGAAGUACCUCGGUAUGUAAAGCUCUAUCAGCAGGGAAGAAGAUGACGGUACCUGACCAAGAAGCACCGGCUAAAUACGUGCCAGCAGCCGCGGUAAUACGUAUGGUGCAAGCGUUAUCCGGAUUUACUGGGUGUAAAGGGAGCGCAGGCGGCACGGCAAGUCAGAUGUGAAAGCCCGGGGCUCAACCCCGGGACUGCAUUUGAAACUGCCGCGCUAGAGUGUCGGAGG